UACGGGGGGGGGCAAGCGUUGUUCGGAAUUACUGGGCGUAAAGGGCGCGUAGGCGGCCUGCUAAGUCGGAUGUGAAAUCCCUCGGCUCAACCGAGGAACUGCAUCCGAUACUGGCGGGCUUGAAUCCGGGAGAGGGAUGUGGAAUUCCUGGUGUAGCGGUGAAAUGCGCAGAUAUCAGGAGGAACACCGAUGGCGAAGGCAGGUCUCUGGGCAUUAACUGACGCUGAGGAGCGAAAGCAUGGGGAGCGAACAGG
rnacentral:rRNA from 1 species